GGCGGCGUGCUUAACACAUGCAAGUCGAACGAAGCUAGAAGUUGCUUGCAACUUUUAGCUUAGUGGCGGACGGGUGAGUAACGCGUGGGUAACCUACCCUGUACAGGGGGAUAACAGUUAGAAAUGACUGCUAAUACCGCAUAAGCACACGCUGUCGCAUGACAGAGAGUGAAAAGAAUUUCGGUACAGGAUGGGCCCGCGUCUGAUUAGCUAGUUGGCAAGGUAAAGGCUUACCAAGGCGACGAUCAGUAGCCGGCUUGAGAGAGUGGACGGCCACAUUGGAACUGAGACACGGUCCAAACUCCUACGGGAGGCAGCAGUGGGGAAUAUUGCACAAUGGGGGAAACCCUGAUGCAGCGACGCCGCGUGAAGGAUGAAGUAUUUCGGUAUGUAAACUUCUAUCAGCAGGGAAGAUAAUGACGGUACCUGACUAAGAAGCCCCGGCUAACUACGUGCCAGCAGCCGCGGUAAUACGUAGGGGGCAAGCGUUAUCCGGAUUUACUGGGUGUAAAGGGUGCGUAGGUGGCAUGGUAAGUCAGAAGUGAAAACCCGGGGCUCAACCCCGCGGAUUGCUUUUGAAACUAUCAGGCUGGAGUGCAGGAGAGGUAAGCGGAAUUCCUAGUGUAGCGGUGAAAUGCGUAGAUAUUAGGAGGAACACCAGUGGCGAAGGCGGCUUACUGGACUGCAACUGACACUGAGGCACGAAAGCGUGGGGAGC
rnacentral:rRNA from 1 species